rnacentral:ncRNA from 1 species
GGAACUUAGAAGUUCUUGAUGUUCUGUACUUUUCCAGCAAUGUUUGAACACGAUGUUCAAACAAGCCGCCACUGAGCCACGGAUGGCGAAUUGGCGGCGGUUGCGUCCGUUGCCAAAACAACUCAUCAGAACAUCUAGUACUUCUUAGUUUC